CCUUUCUAUUAUUUACAAUGAUCCCUUAUAUUUAUAAAAGGAUUAUUAUACUUUAUAAGGUUUCUUCACAUUCAUUUUCUUCUUUUACUCUUCACAACUCUGGGAGGUCGGUAUAAGAUGAUGUGAUCAUAGAUUGAGAGUUAGCUGGGACCAUAGAGAUUCAGCUCCCCUCAUUCUGUAGGUGAGGUAAGAGGGUCAUACAACUAGUAAGUGUUUGAAGCAAGUUUUGAAGCCAGGUCUUGCUGGUUCCAAGUCUCAUCCUUAGUCUACAAAGGCAUCUUCUAGAACCAGAUUAAAAUGUAAUUGCAAAAUACUUAACAAAACAAAUAAAAAGUAUAGUAGAAUGUAAAUAAUAUUGCUAUGUGAUUUAAUAAGUCGAUAUACUUAUUGUUUAAGCAGGGCUUAGUGACUCCUGAAUUUGAAACUACAAUACUAUGCCACAUAGGGUGUAUGGGAUGUUUAAGGAGACUUCCACUUCUGGCUUGAGUGCUCACUGAGCCCUUUUGAAGGAUGUGCAACUUUUGUUGUAUCAACCUUUCACUCAGCUCUCCCCUGUGACUCCAAGAAGCUAUAAUGUAGACAGCAGCCACACUAUGGUAAAACCAUCUCAGCAACGAGAUAAACCAGGCUGAAGGUAACCAGUGGCCCUUAACCCUGUCAGAGAGUUGGACAGAUGUCUGCUCCAAGCAUGUGAAGACUUUUCUUGGUGGAAUGGGGGAUGAGAACAAUUUGUUCCAACAUCCCUUAGAGCUUGGUCAAACAUUGAGAACACUAAGGUCAUCCAGUACAUCCAGGACGAUCACUAAUCCUGCUUUUUGUCUUGCCCCUGGACUUCAAUGAAUCUAGAAGAGAAAGUAAGGCCAGUGACUAUGGGAAACUCUUCCUUGCUAAACCAAAUUCACAUAAAAGUCAAGACAUCACCCCAUGAUGGCAUUGAUUCUCAUUGAAAAGGAAGGAUGAACAAUAACUAUGUCACCCUAUCUCUCAAUGACCCCAUCCUUUAGAGGUCUUUGUUUUAUAGAGGAAUUUUCCUUCACUAACACAUGCCACAAUCAAUAAAAGACUUAGCAGAUGGUAUUUAAGAGAUUCCGUGACAAAAACAUUCAUCAAUCUAUAGUCAAGUUAGGAAUGAACUAUAUUAAAUUAGCUAGGUUGGUUCUUGGAUACCAGAAAUUAGUUUUUUUAACUUUAACUUUUCUGUACUUUAGAACAAAUUCUAUCGUCUUAACUUUCUUUGUAUUUCUCCUACACUCAGCAUUGAGCUUAUGCACUUAAAUUUUAAAUUAUUUUUUUUUUAUAUUUAAGGCCAGACAUGGAAUGACCACUGCCAAUGCAGAUCAGCAUCAUUUUGCAACUUUUACUCUUAGAGAGUUUCUUGAGGAGCAUCAAGAGUACUUUCACACAUAUCCUUCUACAGCUUUGCAAAUGGAAUGUUGUCCCUAUGGAAUCUUUGCAUAUAAUAAGGUGAGGAAGCUGAGAUUUAGAGGUUGAAUGAGUCACUUAGCUAGUAAGUAUUAUGAGCGAAUUUUAAACCCAGCUCUCCAGACUACAAGUCUAUCAUCACUUUCCAUUGUACCAUCUUGCUUUUCCUUCAGUUAUGGAUGAGUUUAUACAUAUGCACAUGUAGCAAUAUGCAUAAAAUACUUAUCACAUAUAUAUGCAAGUCUAUAGAAAUGUAUAUGAUGGAUAGAGCACUGACCUGGAAGAUGGGAGAAUCUACUUCAAGUAUCAUCUCUGAUACAGUCUCUAAGUGUUUUAGGCAGUUCUCCAAGGCUAUCAAUUAUACAGAUAUUGCUGAUCUUCUUUGAUAGAAAGAGUUGCCUUAUUUAGGAAUUCUCUAUUAAUGACAUUACAGGU